AUUUUCGUUUGAAAAAAAAAAAAAAAACAACGGGUUCUCACAAAAUACUUCACGGACUUUACAACGACAAUGUGAUACCUACCAAAAUAUGUGCGCUACGGAAUUAAUGAAUCGGGCGCGGUGAACGUACGUUUCGCGAAUGAUAUGCCGUCAGAAUUCGCGCGCCGCCCGUAUUAUACAUCGUUCGAUAGAUGAUCGAUCGACCGAGUCGUAUUAAAAAAAAAAAAAAUAAAAACAAAUAAAAAAACAUCUUUCUAAAACCGAAAACUAAAAUAAUGUAGGUAUUAAUUCUGCUCGGCCGUCGUAAAUCCGAUUAAAAUUUGAUUAACGCUAACGCCGCGACGAACGUAAUAUUGUUAUUUUGAACACUACAUACGGUAGGUAAGUUAUAUACGACUCUUAUAUUUUCAUACAUUUGAUGUUCGGGAAAAAUCCGGAUUUGCCGAAACCCAGAUGUUUCCCGUGCAAAUCCGGAUUUCGGAUUUUAAAACUCGUAUACUUAUGUGUGUAUUAUUUUUAUACUUAGGUAUGAUAUUAU